rnacentral:rRNA from 1 species
CCCCGCCGCGCGGCGGGCGGGNNNGGGGCACGGGGGGAGGAAAGUAGGGGAUCGCAAGACCUCGNNNUAUUGGAGCGGCCGAUAUCGGAUUAGCUAGUUGGUGGGGUAAUGGCCCACCAAGGCGACGAUCCGUAGCUGGUUUGAGAGGACGACCAGCCACACUGGGACUGAGACACGGCCCAGACUCCUACGGGAGGCAGCAGUGGGGAAUUUUGGACAAUGGGGGCAACCCUGAUCCAGCCAUCCCGCGUGUGCGAUGAAGGCCUUCGGGUUGUAAAGCACUUUUGGCAGGAAAGAAACGGCGCUGGAUAAUACCUGGGGNNNNNGACGGUACCUGCAGAAUAAGCACCGGCUAACUACGUGCCAGCAGCCGCGGUAAUACGUAGGGUGCAAGCGUUAAUCGGAAUUACUGGGCGUAAAGCGUGCGCAGGCG